rnacentral:snoRNA from 7 species
UGGCAACAAUGAUGACAGGUACUGUAACUGUAUGUGAUAUUUCAUUACUGCAUGGAGACACCAGUCCCUCUAAACUGAUGUUGCCA